rnacentral:rRNA from 1 species
UACAGAGGGUGCAAGCGUUGUUCGGAAUUAUUGGGCGUAAAGGGCGCGUAGGCGGUUCGGCAAGUCUUCCGUGAAAUCUCUGGGCUCAACUCAGAGUCUGCUGGAGAAACUGCCGGGCUUGAGUGUGGGAGAGGAGAGUGGAAUUCCUGGUGUAGCGGUGAAAUGCGUAGAUAUCAGGAGGAACACCUGAGGCGAAAGCGGCUCUCUGGACCACAACUGACGCUGAGGCGCGAAAGCUAGGGGAGCAAACAGG